rnacentral:tRNA from 1 species
AAGAAAAUCAGCUAAAUUAAGCUUUCGGGUUCAUAUUUCGAAUAUAGAGGUAAAUAAUCCUUUUUUUCCUA